ncrna:unclassified sequences GA-cis RNA
AGGAGGAAGCACCAUGCAUCGAAGAUGCAUUUAAAAAUGGUGCUGACGAAAUGCCGCCGAACGGAUGUGAGGGGGGCAAUACAAAAA